UACGUAGGGGGCAAGCGUUGUCCGGAUUUAUUGGGCGUAAAGAGCGUGUAGGCGGCCAGGUAGGUCAGCUGUGAAAACUCGAGGCUCAACCUCGAGACGCCGGUUGAAACCAUCUGGCUAGAGUCCGGAAGAGGAGAGUGGAAUUCCUGGUGUAGCGGUGAAAUGCGCAGAUAUCAGGAAGAACACCCGUGGCUAAGGCGGCUCUCUGGGCCUUACCUGACGCUGAGGAGCGAAAGCGUGGGUAGCGAACAGG
rnacentral:rRNA from 1 species